AAAAAAAAUUUUUUUUUCACAUUUUUCGAAAGUAUAUCUAAAAGUAUUGUGUUUAAAUUUUUAAGUGAUCGGACCACUGUAACUAUAUCAUUUUACGAGGUUUAUGUGGAUGUUCGAGUGGAAGAAAAUAAAAUUUUUGAAAAGGCUGGAGGAAUUUUGUAUGGUACCGGCGUCGCUGGUUGACUUUAGUGUUUUAGAUGAGCCGCUAUCAAGUUAUCACGCACGCGAGCUUUAUACCAACGUUUUGUCAGAGCUCCGUUCACCCGUUGUUUAUUCAUAUAAAAAAUAUCUAAAAA